GAUGAAGAACGCAGCGAAAUGCGAUAAGUAGUGUGAAUUGCAGAAUUCAGUGAAUCAUCGAAUCUUUGAACGCACAUUGCGCCCUUUGGUAUUCCAAAGGGCAUGCCUGUUCGAGCGUCAUUUGUACCCUCAAGCUUUGCUUGGUGUUGGGCGUCUUGUCUCUAGCUUUGCUGGAGACUCGCCUUAAAGUAAUUGGCAGCCGGCCUACUGGUUUCGGAGCGCAGCACAAGUCGCACUCUCUAUCAGCAAAGGUCAAGCAUCCAUUAAGCCUUUUUUUCAACUUUUGACCUCGGAUCAGGUAGGGAUACCCGCUGAACUUAAGCAUAUCAAUAAGCGGAGGA
rnacentral:misc_RNA from 1 species